rnacentral:rRNA from 1 species
GUCGAACGGCAGCACGGAGCUUGCUCUGGUGGCGAGUGGCGAACGGGUGAGUAAUAUAUCGGAACGUACCCUAGAGUGGGGGAUAACGUAGCGAAAGUUACGCUAAUACCGCAUACGAUCUAAGGAUGAAAGUGGGGGAUCGCAAGACCUCAUGCUCGUGGAGCGGCCAAUAUCUGAUUAGCUAGUUGAUAGGGUAAAAGCCUACCAAGGCAUCGAUCAGUAGCUGGUCUGAGAGGACGACCAGCCACACUGGAACUGAGACACGGUCCAGACUCCUACGGGAGGCAGCAGUGGGGAGUUUUGGACAAUGGGCGAAAGCCUGAUCCAGCAAUGCCGCGUGAGUGAAGAAGGCCUUCGGGUUGUAAAGCUCUUUUGUCAGGGAAGAAACGGUGAGAGCUAAUAUCUCUUGCUAAUGACGGUACCUGAAGAAUAAGCACCGGCUAACUACGUGCCAGCAGCCGCGGUAAUACGUAGGGUGCAAGCGUUAAUCGGAAUUACUGGGCGUAAAGCGUGCGCAGGCGGUUUUGUAAGUCUGAUGUGAAAUCCCCGGGCUCAACCCGGGAAUUGCAUUGGAGACUGCAAGGCUAGAAUCUGGCAGAGGGGGGUAGAAUUCCACGUGUAGCAGUGAAAUGCGUAGAUAUGUGGAGGAACACCGAUGGCGAAGGCAGCCCCCUGGGUCAAGAUUGACGCUCAUGCACGAAAGCGUGGGGAGCAAACAGGAUUAGAUACCCUGGUAGUCCACGCCCUAAACGAUGUCUACUAGUUGUCGGGUCUUAAUUGACUUGGUAACGCAGCUAACGCGUGAAGUAGACCGCCUGGGGGAGUACGGUCGCAAGAUUAAAACUCAAAGGAAUUGAC